rnacentral:rRNA from 1 species
UACGUAGGGUGCAGGCGUUAAUCGGAAUUACUGGGCGUAAAGCGUGCGCAGGCGGUCUUUUAAGUCAGAUGUGAAAUCCCCGGGCUUAACCUGGGAACUGCGUUUGAAACUGGAAGGCUAGAGUGUGGCAGAGGGGGGUGGAAUUCCACGUGUAGCAGUGAAAUGCGUAGAUAUGUGGAGGAACACCGAUGGCGAAGGCAACCCCCUGGGCUGACACUGACGCUCAGGCACGAAAGCGUGGGGAGCAAACAGG